rnacentral:tRNA from 1 species
GGUUCCAUAGUCUAACGGUUAUGAUGGCGGAUUCUGAUUCCGCAGGCGAGGGUUCGACUCCCCCUGGGACCU